CGGACGGGUGAGUAAUGUCUGGGAAACUGCCUGAUGGAGGGGGAUAACUACUGGAAACGGUAGCUAAUACCGCAUAACGUCGCAAGACCAAAGAGGGGGACCGUCGGGCCUCUUGCCAUCGGAUGUGCCCAGAUGGGAUUAGCUAGUAGGUGGGGUAAAGGCUCACCUAGGCGACGAUCCCUAGCUGGUCUGAGAGGAUGACCAGCCACACUGGAACUGAGACACGGUCCAG
rnacentral:rRNA from 1 species